rnacentral:rRNA from 1 species
GUCGAACGCUGGCGGCGUGCCUAAUACAUGCAAGUAGAACGCAGUUGCGAACGGGUGAGUAACGUGUAGGUAACUGCCCCAUAGCGGGGGAUAAACAUUGGAAACGAUAGCUAAUACCGCAUACUGUUAGAUGGACUUGCGUUGUAUUUGCUAGUUGGUGAGGUAAAGGUGCACUAAGGUGACGAUACAUAGCCGACCUGAGAGGGUGAACGGCCACACUGUGACUGAAGCACGGCCCAGACUCCUACGGGAGGCCGCAGUAGGGAAUCUUCGGCAAUGGACGGAAGUCUGACCGAGCAACGCCGCGGGAGUGAAGAAGGUUUUCGGAUCGUAAAACUCUGUUGUUAGAGAAGCGUUAACUGACCAGAAAGGGACGGCUAACUACGUGCCAGCAGCCGCGGUAAUUC